rnacentral:rRNA from 1 species
GUUUGAUCAUGGCUCAGGAUGAACGCUAGCUACAGGCUUAACACAUGCAAGUCGAGGGGCAUCAGGAAGAAAGCUUGCUUUCUUUGCUGGCGACCGGCGCACGGGUGAGUAACACGUAUCCAACCUGCCCUUUACUCGGGGAUAGCCUUUCGAAAGAAAGAUUAAUACCCGAUGGCAUAAUGAUUCCGCAUGGUUUCAUUAUUAAAGGAUUCCGGUAAAGGAUGGGGAUGCGUUCCAUUAGGUUGUUGGUGAGGUAACGGCUCACCAAGCCUUCGAUGGAUAGGGGUUCUGAGAGGAAGGUCCCCCACAUUGGAACUGAGACACGGUCCAAACUCCUACGGGAGGCAGCAGUGAGGAAUAUUGGUCAAUGGGCGCUAGCCUGAACCAGCCAAGUAGCGUGAAGGAUGAAGGCUCUAUGGGUCGUAAACUUCUUUUAUAUAAGAAUAAAGUGCAGUAUGUAUACUGUUUUGUAUGUAUUAUAUGAAUAAGGAUCGGCUAACUCCGUGCCAGCAGCCGCGGUAAUACGGAGGAUCCGAGCGUUAUCCGGAUUUAUUGGGUUUAAAGGGAGCGUAGGUGGACUGGUAAGUCAGUUGUGAAAGUUUGCGGCUCAACCGUAAAAUUGCAGUUGAUACUGUCAGUCUGAGUACAGU